rnacentral:rRNA from 1 species
CUAAUACCGCAUAAUGACUGAGGACGAAAGCUGGGGACCUUCGGGCCUGGCGCUUUAAGAUUAGCCUGCGUCCGAUUAGCUAGUUGGUGGGGUAAGGGCCUACCAAGGCGACGAUCGGUAGCUGGUCUGAGAGGAUGACCAGCCACACUGGAACUGAGACACGGUCCAGACUCCUACGGGAGGCAGCAGUGGGGAAUAUUGGACAAUGGGGGCAACCCUGAUCCAGCAAUGCCGCGUGUGUGAAGAAGGCCUGAGGGUUGUAAAGCACUUUCAGUGGGGAGGAGGGUUGAUAGGUUAAGAGCUAAUUAACUGGACGUUACCCACAGAAGAAGCACCGGCUAACUCCGUGCCAGCAGCCGCGGUAAUACGGAGGGUGCGAGCGUUAAUCGGAAUUACUGGGCGUAAAGGGUGCGUAGGUGGUUGAUUAAGUUAUCUGUGAAAUUCCUGGGCUUAACCUGGGACGGUCAGAUAAUACUGGUUGACUCGAGUAUGGGAGAGGGUAGUGGAAUUUCCGGUGUAGCGGUGAAAUGCGUAGAGAUCGGAAGGAACACCAGUGGCGAAGGCGGCUACCUGGCCUAAUACUGACACUGAGGCACGAAAGAGCAAACAGGAUUAGAUACCCUGGUAGUCCACGCUGUAAACGAUGUCAACUAGCUGUUGGUUAUAUGAAAAUAAUUAGUGGCGCAGCAAACGCGAUAAGUUGACCGCCUGGGGAGUACGGUCGCAAGAUUAAAACUCAAAGGAAUUGACGGGGGCCCGCACAAGCGGUGGAGCAUGUGGUUUAAUUCGAUGCAACGCGAAGAACCUUACCUACCCUUGACAUACAGUGAAUUUUGCAGAGAUGCAUUAGUGCCUUCGGGAACACUGAUACAGGUGCUGCAUGGCUGUCGUCAGCUCGUGUCGUGAGAUGUUGGGUUAAGUCCCGUAACGAGCGCAACCCUUAUCCUUAGUUGCCAGCAUGUGAUGGUGGGGACUCUAAGGAGACUGCCGGUGACAAACCGGAGGAAGGCGGGGAUGACGUCAAGUCAUCAUGGCCCUUACGGGUAGGGCUACACACGUGCUACAAUGGCCGAUACAGAGGGCGGCGAAGGGGCGACCUGGAGCAAAUCCUUAAAAGUCGGUCGUAGUCCGGAUUGGAGUCUGCAACUCGACUCCAUGAAGUCGGAAUCGCUAGU